ACGCACGCUGGCGGCGUGCUUAACACCUGCAAGUCGAACGGUGAAGCGCCUUCCUUUUUGGUGGGUGUGGAUGAGUGGCGAACGGGUGAGUAACACGUGAGUAACCUGCCCCCUUCUUCUGGAUAACCGCAUGAAAGUGUGGCUAAUACGGGAUAUUCUGGGUCUGUCGCAUGAUGGGUCUGGGAAAGAUAUUGUUUCGGUGGGGGAUGGGCUCGCGGCCUAUCAGCUUGUUGGUGGGGUGAUGGCCUACCAAGGCGGUGACGGGUAGCCGGCCUGAGAGGGUGGACGGUCACACUGGGACUGAGACACGGCCCAGACUCCUACGGGAGGCAGCAGUGGGGAAUAUUGCACAAUGGGCGCAAGCCUGAUGCAGCGACGCCGCGUGAGGGAUGGAGGCCUGCGGGUUGUGAACCUCUUUCGCCAGUGAAGCAGGCCUGCCUCGUUUGUGGGUGGGUUGACGGUAGCUGGAUAAGAAGCGCCGGCUAACUACGUG
rnacentral:rRNA from 1 species